UUAAAAGUCAUUUUCAGAAACUAGAAAUUAAAAGAGAAAUAAUGCAAUUGGUCCCAUAAUUUUUGGACCAAUAAUGAGAGAGAUAUGAAUUUUAGAAAUAAAAUGGAAUUAAAAGAAAUAAAAGAAAUUAAAAUCAGAAAAAUGGAAAAUAGAAAAAGCGUGAGCCGUCUGAUGGUGAUUCAUUAAUUAACGUGAAUCAUCACACGGCUCAGAAGCGCGUGUUCACCAUACACGCGGGUCAAACGUAUCACACCAUGCCAAAUGAAAAGU
rnacentral:lncRNA from 1 species